UAGAGUUUGAUCAUGGCUCAGGAUGAACGCUAGCGGCAGGCUUAACACAUGCAAGUCGAGGGGCAGCGCGAUGUAGCAAUACAUUGGUGGCGACCGGCGCACGGGUGCGUAACACGUAUGGAACUUACCCUUUACUGGGAGAUAGCCCGGAGAAAUCCGGAUUAAUAUCCCAUAACAAUCGGAGUGGCAUCACUCUGUUUUAAAAGCUCAGGCGGUAAAGGAUGGCCAUGCGCACGAUUAGCUAGUAGGUGAGGUAACGGCUCACCUAGGCUACGAUCGUUAGGGGGCCUGAGAGGGUUAUCCCCCGCACUGGUACUGAGACACGGACCAGACUCCUACGGGAGGCAGCAGUGAGGAAUAUUGCGCAAUGGRRGSMAMYUYKRASGCAGCCAUGCCGCGUGCAGGAAGAAGGCCCUACGGGUUGUAAACUGCUUUUAUCAGGGAAGAAACCCCUUUAGGUGUAAAGGGUUGACGGUACCUGAGGAAUAAGCACCGGCUAACUCCGUGCCAGCCGCCGCGGUAAUUC
rnacentral:rRNA from 1 species